GUUGAUCUUCAUGCAGAGCAAAGGUUUAGUUAUGCAACAAUUGCGCAGAAACUUGCUCAAGGUUUUCAUAAAUGAUGUGGAUAAUCCAAUUUAUUUGUUGUGGCACGCUAAUAUUGGUAUUUGAGUGCAGGCUAGAAUGCUGCAAGCAGUGCUUUGUCCAACUGCAAAAAAUCCAGCAAAUUCUUCCAGCAGUUAUAAGGCAAGCAGGAAUCUUGAGUAUUCUUUUCUUUUUCUUUUCCCAACUGUGAUUAAACUAUAACAAAUAAUUUUAGAAGAAAAGGAAUGCCAUGCUGAAGUAUUUCCGAUCCCUGUUGACUAAAUUCUAGCAAUUAAUUGAAGGUUUCUGUACAAAAAUUCUUGCUUCUUCCUUCUCAAAAUGAAUAUAAAUUGUAGUGUGCUUUUGGACUCCAUGUGACAUGUCACUUUCUUCAGUAGUCAAUAUGCAACUUUGCCUGGACUAAGACACCACUUUGAAAGAACUUUUACUGCUUUGUGUUGUACUCUAAAUGCUUGUUUUCUGUGUAAUAAGGUCCGGUGCUUUUACUAGUCACAAAUAUGACAAACUGCUCAUGAGAAUGUUCCCUAUAAAUUUUGCUACAGGAAAGGCGGAUUAGUGGCAAAAUCUGCUCUGGAAUUGAAUCUAGUUCUUCAAGAAUCAUAGCCAAAGCCCGCAAUCUAAGGUCACUUUCUUUUGCAAGUGUGGGACUACCUCAUGCAACACGCUAAAAGUGCAAUACGAUGCUACUUCCACGUGUCAUUGUGCACCUCACAGUUUUGUCUUGCUGCUUCUUACUAUUUGUGGUUCAUAUCGGCCUUUAUUAGCAACAGAGUACAACAGAUUGAUAGUCUUAUGAGGCAAAUAUUAGAGCAGUUCCAUUUCAUGCCAUGCCACUGUCGAUGCAUUAUUAUAGAAAGCGGUCGUCUUUAAUACCUUGGUCCUUCAGGCAUUACCUCGAUGAUUUUCACUGUAAG
rnacentral:misc_RNA from 1 species